rnacentral:rRNA from 1 species
UCGAACGAAGUAGCAAUACUUAGUGGCGAACGGGUGAGUAUAAUGUGGGUAUCUGCCUUUUGGUUUGGAAUAACACGGGGAAACUUGUGCUAAUACCGGAUAAGCCUUCACAGGGAAAGUUUUAACGCCAAAAGAUGAGCCCGCACUUGAUUAGCUAGUUGGUAAGGUAAUGGCUUACCAAGGCUACGAUCAAUAGCUGAUCUGAGAGGAUGAUCAGCCACAUUGGGACUGAGACACGGCCCAAACUCCUACGGGAGGCAGCAGUGGGGAAUCUUGCACAAUGGGGGAAACCCUGAUGCAGCGAUGCCGCGUGAGUGAAGAAGGCCCUUGGGUUGUAAAGCUCUUUCGUCGGGGAAGAAAAUGACUGUACCCGAAUAAGAAGGUCCGGCUAACUUCGUGCCAGCAGCCGCGGUAAUACGAAGGGACCUAGCGUAGUUCGGAAUUACUGGGCUUAAAGAGCUCGUAGGUGGUUAGAAAAGUUGGUGGUGAAAUCCCAAGGCUUAACCUUGGAACUGCCAUCAAAACUUUUUGACUAGAGUAUGAUAGAGGAAAGUGGAAUUUCUAGUGUAGAGGUGAAAUUCGUAGAUAUUAGAAAGAACACCAAUUGCGAAGGCAACUUUCUGGAUCAUUACUGACACUGAGGAGCGAAAGCAUGGGUAGCGAAGAGGAUUAGAUACCCUCGUAGUCCAUGCCGUAAACGAUGUGUGCUAGACGUUGGAAAUUUAGUUUUCAGUGUCGCAGCAAAAGCGUUAAGCACACCGCCUGGGGAGUACGACCGCAAGGUUAAAACUCAAAUGAAUUGACGGGGACCCGCACAAGUAGUGGAGCAUGUGGUUUAAUUCGAAGAUACGCGCAGAACCUUACCAACACUUGACAUGUUCGUCGCGACUCUAAGAGAUUAGAGUUUUCGGUUCGGCCGACGAAACACAGUGCUGCAUGACUGUCGUCAGCUCGUGUCGUGAGAUGUGGUAGUCCGCACGAGCGCACCCUUACUUUAGUGCUACAUUAGUGGUACUCUAAAAGACUGCGUGAUAGCUGAGAAGUGGGAUGACGUCAGUCUCAUGGCUUAUGUGUGGCUACACACUGCUAAUGGUACUCCAGCGAGAUGAAAAGGCACCUUAAGCUAUUCCUAAAGGCCCCAUCGAAUUGAUUCUGCACCUCAAGCCUGACUGGAAUUUCAUGUUAACUCCGGAUAAAACCCCCGCCCGGGGAAAGAU